UUUUCACACAGCACCUUUGGACAUUGAAUAAGGAGCCUGAAGUCCUGGUGUGCAUGUUCUCCCAGCCUGGAGAAGCUCUGGCACCCCAUCCUCAGGGGCUUCCCCGCUGGGCUCUAUUUUAAGCCACGCUGGGGAGGUGAGAUAAUGAAGAUCUUUUAUCAGCAAACCCACAGUGCCAUGGCAGUAUUAACUUUCGUAGGAGAUGACCUGACUUCAAGUUGUGUUUUCCACCUGCAGACCACUGGUCUGUAACAAGUGGGGGCAGUUUGGGCAGCACAAACCUGAACAAGGAUGUGUCAUAGGACUUCCCCCAGCAACUGCACUCCUCUGCAUCAUACUCCCUUGCAUCGAGAAUAAAAUCUUCCAGAAGUACUGGUAACCAGGAGAGAAAUGAGGACUGGGCUACAGUGCUUUCUGAGGGAGCUGGCUGCAAGACAGCUACAGAUGUGAGGUGUACACCUUGGCUUAUGGAAUAACUUCAUGGGACUAAGCUACUUUAUAGACGGGCUGGUGUUAAAAAGGGGAGCGUACAACUCAGUUCUUUUGGAAGGCGUGGAGGCU